rnacentral:tRNA from 1 species
AGUCUCAUAACUUAGUUGGUUAAAGUGUCGUACUAACAAUGCGAAAGUCGAGAGUUCGAAUCUCUCUGGGACUU